GCCCAGAUAGCUCAGUUGGGAGAGCGCCAGACUGAAGAUCUGGAGUCCUCAGUUCGAUCCUGGUUCUGGGCA
rnacentral:tRNA from 1 species